rnacentral:piRNA from 1 species
CACCUAUACCAGUUUUUGA